GGCUGCGCCCCCCCAGCGCACACUCUCACCCCCCCAUCACGGUUUUUUAUUUUUCGUCCUGAUGUGUUUUAAAUGUGAGUCCCCGUCCCUGCCAGCGCUCCCGGCCGCCCCCCCGCCCCCGGCAGCGCGUUAUUUCGAGGCGAGCGGCGGGUCCGGCGGGAAGGGGCGGCGGGGCGGUUGCCAGGGGCGUUCGGGGGAAUCCGCUAUUUCCCUUCCCCUGUGCUCCCCGCUCGUCCCUCUUCCCUCCCCCGGGCACAGGGGACGCGGGGCGGGUGGAUCGGGAGUGGCGCGGAGUACCCGGUGUCCGGCGGCGAACGGUCCGGGCGCUUUGGUCCCACCGAAAAAAGGUAUAAUUACGCUACCAGGUAUAAAUUGACUCUGUGUACCACUGAAUCAUACUGAAUAUUUGUAAUGUGUUCCUUCCCUAAUAGAUGCUCUCUAUGAAUAGAGAGAGUGCCUAUUUACUCUGAAAUACUUGGCACAGUGAGUGGAGUCUGAAGCAUGGAAGAAGUGGCUAUUAUUUUCCCACUGCCUGUGUGCAGCUGUCAUUUCUGAGCAACACGUUCCUCGUUCCUCUCACAUCCCUGCUUCCAACCUUCCUGAUGGUCCGCCCCAGGAUUACAACAAGAAGAGAAUGGCAUGCCACCUCAUUCAGCCAAAACCUUAACACUGUGGUUUGUAUUUGACUGAAUCCAGGACGUAAGCAUUGUGGCUUGCAUUAAGUCAUUGCAGAUAACUGGUAUGAUUAUUGUUGGGUUUUUUUUCCUUUCUUUUUUUAACCGGGAGGAUGGCUCUUUCCCCGCCUCCUGUGUAUGAUUUGAAUAUUCAGUGAUGUCAUGUUGUUUGACCUCCUCUUUAACGCAAGGAAUGCCAAUGUUUUGGCUUUUGACCUGUGGAAGUAUGUUAGUGUUUAGUAAGAGAGACCGGCUUGAUGCAUGUAAUAAGCAAUCUAAAAUCUGGUAGUACCUUAAGAGAUACGUCAUCUUUUGGAUGCAGGCUUUCCCCCACUGCUGUUCUACCUUGCUCCCCACUUCUUUCCAUCCCUCCAUAUGUAGGCAUACUUCCAUGCUAUGAUGCUGUGAUAGUAAAACAAGAUUCAUGAGGGGAAAAGAAGGUCUUCUAUGUAAUGUCCCAGUAGGACCAUUGUGCUGUAAAACUGCUACUUAUAUUCUGCCAGCAUUAUACUGCGUCUGGUAAAGUCAUUUGGAUGUCAUUUCUUCUACUUGAAAUUCUCCAUUAAAAGAAAUGAGAUUGUCUUUGAAAGAAAAAAUGAACCCCAGAGGAACAGUUAUGGUAAAUAAUAAAUGUUCCCAAAACCAUGAGGUCUCCUAAAAUCUGUAUUUACUUGAAGGACUCCAGUGGCCUCAGUGCUGGGUAAAUAGUAUGUGUACCAAACUAUGUAUGACAUGCAUACCAAAAUGCAAAUGUAACCAGGUAAACAGAAUGCCUUUUUUAAAUGCCUAAAUAUGGUAGAACAUCAGAGAGAGAGAGAGAGAGGCUCUAGACAUGUUUUAUAACUUUCCAUGUAAGAGAUACAAUUUUAUGGAACAAAACUGAAGAAUCUCACUGACAGAAAAAGUAUGUUUAAAAGUAACAAACUACCAGAAACCCAGGAAAUCCAAAAUUAAAGGAUAAAACUGUCCUAAGUCCUCCCACUGCAGGCCAAGUACAGCAAGCCCCAUACACUUGCUGCCCUGAGAAAAAUGGCUUGAAUAGUUACUUGAAUUCCGAACUAAAUCUGGUCUUGCACCACUGUGUAUCAGGCAUUAGCCUACUAAAUUAGAAGUUGUAUCAGCACAUGCAGGUUGGUAAGAAUCAGAGUCCACAGGAGUGCCUUUUGGUCAUCUUGGUUUCCAUGUUGUUAGAUGUGUCUAACAAUGGGUACCUCCUUGGUGCGCGUGUAUGUACGCACAGGGGCAAAGGGAGCUUGAAAGCAAAGGCAGUUCUUGCAGACUCCAAUCUGUCUUCAGCUUAUCCUUUCUGAUGACAACCACAGGAUCCUCAAGGUUGGAAGAGACCUUCAAGAUCAUUUAGUCCAGCCAGCAAUGUUACCCCACCAUAAUCACCCCUAAACAGUACCCCAGGAUGCCACAUCCAGGUGCGUCUUGAGUAUGCCACAGGUUAGACAAGUACAUCCUGGAAUUGAUGCAUAAAAUGGUUAAAAUGCACUAAUUUUGACUUCCUUGCAGGUGUUUAUACAGCACAUGCUUUUAAGAUAGUAUAUUUUUUUUGCUGAAACUAGGAAUUCACUACACCAGCCUUGCAGACUUGUUUACACAGCUAUAUACGGUAUGUGUGUGUCUACAUCAGCUUCAGUUGGUGAAGUCUUGUAAAAUGUACAGGUGUGGAUUGCUACAUUCCUCUCUUGUGUUUUUCCUUCUUUUUUUUUUCCUGCUUCCCCCAAAAAGUCACUUGAUCAGGUAUCAGACAUAGUGAAAACCUGGCAAGACUACAGGAAAGUGGCUAGACUUGGAGUGUUUGUGUACUUAAAGAAAGAAUCUUGCACAUUUUCAACUUUCAGUCACAGAUAUUUUUUUUAUAAGAGCAAUUGGAGGUCUGAGCCAGCCCUCAAAGCGGAAAUCAAAAGCUCCCAGAGAAACAUACCCGAGGAAUGUGAAUCUGAUCCAACAACCAUACGCAAUGCACAUACAGUACUGUCAGUCUUAUAGGAAGUCUUGCCAUAUAUGGACAUCUGGACCCUGAGCUGUUUAUCAUCACGAUAGGCUUGUAGCUGGCUUCAGACAUUUCUGGCUUGCCUCGGGUUUAGUGUGCCAAUUAGUUCCUUUCCCAAAAUGCUCACCAGGAUAUUUCUUUAAAAUUGUAAUAAAUACAUCUCAAAAUUCGGAGAGGUCUGGUUAAAGUUACGUUAGUAGGCUUUUGCUUAAAAUGCAGAUUCCAAGAAAGACUUACUCUGCUAGCUCAGAAAUAGACACAGAGUAAAAAUAAAGAGAUUUAUUCCAUCAUUAAUGUGGUUGCCUGGUAUUUCUCUUUCUUAGAAGUCAUCUGGUAGCUUAUUCUAUGUACCUGCAGGCAUAGAAGGGGCUCUGAAGUAGAUCACUUGCUGAACUUUUACUCAUCCUUUUCUGAAGAGAUGCAUGAUCUCAUCAAUCCACAGAGGCAAAGAAAAGACCACAUUUCCCAGGAUCUGUCAAGCAACUUAUCUGUGUUAUGCAAUUUGUACUGCUUGGUUAGAGUGGUACAUAGCCUUUCACCUUGUAGCUAUGACAAUUCACGUCAGCUAAUCUUACUAAUGCGAGCCAUUAGCUCUUCUCCAAAGUGAACCAGAAUUAGAAGCCAGGGAGGGGCAGUGGAUGGCAUAGGCUAUGGACAUGUUUGUUGCUGAAAUGGCAGAUCUAGUCCAAAUUCCUCAAAAUACUGUUUCAGAUUCUCUGCUGGCAUCAGUUGGGUAGUUCACUAAAUGCACUGUUGGCCAUCCAAAUAUUGGAAUUUGAAAAGUGCAAGUCCAUUGGGCUAAAGCAAAACCAUCAGAUGCAGUUCCCAUUAGCAGACCUGAGUUUUGUUGUUUUCCGUAAUAUCUUUCUUAGUGUAUUAAGGUGCAAAUAUUUUGUUACUUCUAGAGUCUCUGAGAAUGCUACUUUAAGCACCUGGCUUUAUUCUUAAAAAGUAACUGGAGUUUUUGUGAAUGUGUGUGGUCUUAAACCAGCAAAGUGAUUACUGGAAGUAAUCUAAAUGGAUAUUCAAAGCACAUGUUAAACUAUUCACAUGAAAGUGUGAUUAUGAGUACUGUGAAGCUAAAUGUCCUUUACCUACUGAGCCCGAGAUUCAGUUUAUCUUAUUUUAUUCUGAAAAAUUUGCCACAGAUCUGGUCUUAGAUCUGUAGGAGCAACAUUCACUACUUCUGUGAGGAGGCUGGCUGUGUCCUGGGUUUUUCUGGGGAAACGCAGAGUCCUUCCACGGCUGGCAAUGGACAAGCUGAGGUGCACAAAAAUUACUGCAUACCAGUCCACCGCAGGAGGAAAAGGUCUGGCAUUGUGUCUUUGGAUUGCAGACAGGCAGGAGAGACAGAAUGUUUGUCAUCAGGAUCCCUUGCACGUACUCUGGAGCCACAGCUGAAAAUUUUUAAGUUACGCACACACGUUGCACCACCGUGAAGACAUGUCCUCCAGAUGAUGUAAACCAACUGUUUCAAUGCAUAAAGUUUGCCUUCAACCUGCAGAGAUACGAGAAUAUCCCAUUUUUACCACCUGUGGAAAAUCAGGCAUAAUAACAAACUGAUGACCAGGGCAGUGACUGAAGCAGAGAUAAGAUAAGCAGAGAUAAGACUGAAGCAGAGAGGAUUAUUGCCACUGAAGGCUCAGCCCUCCUUCCUUCCCAUGUCCCAGAUCCUUGGAGAGAGAAGAGGCAGAACAGUUCCUCAAGCCAGCAAGAGGCUUUGCUUAUGGGACACUGUAGGAAGGACUGUGCCAUUCUGGCAGAAAUGAGGAACAAUUAUUCUGUCUGCUGUUCAACCUUCUCUUCAGGAAAAGACAAGGACCAGGGAGAUGAAAGAUCUUGAACUUCACGUGUGUCCAGCAUCUGUGACCAGAUGGGAUAUGGGAUAUCUGGGAUAUCCCAUGGGAUGUGGGAUAUCUGUCACCAUCUGGGAUAUGCCACCAACUAUGGGAAGCAACCUAUGUGAAAAUGAAGAAUGUGCUACAAAUGUGAUGGUCUUUUUCAAGAAUUUCUGCUUCCCAGAGAGAUUUGACAAUCUUGCUUCAGCACCAGCUGGGGUGUGGCAAGCAGUCUGGCCAGGAAUACUGGCUGAAAUGUGAAAUCUCUUCAGUCCCAUGGGUGGUCUUCUAGCAACCCUUGCGGAGGUGAUGUGGUGUUUACAGGUAAUGGUGCUUGGCAACUGGUCUGCCCCAGCCACAUAGUCUGGAAGGAAAGGGGAUUGGUUUGGGCAGGUUUGGUGGGUGCACUCACUAUUUUAUUGACUUCUUUCUUAGCAAUAGAGGUAUAAGGAGCUGAAGGAUCUUUUGCAGAUACAGAAGAAAUCAUGUGCAUUUCCACUAAACUUUAAUUGGAGGCUAUUAACAUACAGCAUUUGAUCCUCAUAGAAAGAGCAGUGCAAAAGGGAGGAAUAGUUUUUUACAUCCCUUCACUCCCAGGAGGGUACACAAGGGGAAUCAUGUCAGAUUUCUUCUUGGUGCAUUUGCUCUGCUUGCUAGCUUGGAAAGUUGGGGUUUUUUGUUUGUUUUACUGGAUAUUAUUGAAAUGCUGGAGAAAAGAAAAGCCUGAAACUGUUCCAUAGGCUGUUAUAGUCUUAUAAAUUUAAAUAGUAAAGUAAAUAAAGUAUUGUGUCUGGCAGUUCUCUUUAGCUGUGAUAGACAUUUAUAGUUACGAGUACAAUGGAUAUUGUUAGCCAUCACUUUACCUCCACAAAACCCCUCCAUUUACUAAAAGUCUGGAUGGAAUAAUGACCCCAAAUUAAUGAUAAUAAAAAACAUUUUUACAGCCA